rnacentral:lncRNA from 1 species
CUCGAUCCAACAGUCCAAAAUUUAGAAUAUUUACAUGAUUUAAUUCUCUACAAUCAACUCAUCAUCUUCACUAAGCUAAAAUGGGUGACACUGGAAAAUAUGCAAAUAACCCUGGUGCUGCAAAUGUUAUACCCUAUGACAUCAAUCACCCAUACUUACUCAAUAACUCUGACUCUCCUAGGAUGACUCUAGUCAAUACCUUGUUUGAUGGAAAAGGAUAUCCAGGAUGGAGGAGAUCUAUUUUGUUGUUAUUGUCAGCUAAGAAAAAACUUGGGUUUUCAAUGGAGCUUGCAAAUCUCCAGAAGUGAGUUCCCGGGAUCUUGAACAAUGGAGUUGUGUCAAUGAUAUGGUGUUCUCCUCAAUUUUGAAUUAUCUUUCUAAGGAUAUCGUUGACAGUGUCAUAUAUUCCAAAACUGCAAAGGAGCUUUGGGAUAGCCUGGAACAGAGGUUUGAAAAACCAAACGGAACCAAGCUAUACCAUCUGCAAAAGGAGCUAUUAGGAUUAGUGUAAUAAAAUAGUAACAUUGCACGAUUCUUCACUAAACUCAAACGAUAUGGGAUUAAUUAGAUGCUUUAAAUGUGGUCAUAUGUUGUUCCUAUGUGUACCUCUUAAGGAAAAGCAAAAUUGACAAAUCACUUGAAAAUCAGAGGUCAAUUCAAUUCCUUAUGGGAAUGAAUGACAUCUAAGCACAAGCUAGAGGAAACGUACUUAUGAUGAAUCCCCUACCUAGCAUGGAUGUACCAUAUUCUCUUCUUUUACAAGAUGAAAAUCAGAGAGAAUUUUAUGCAAAUGCAACUUUUAACUCAGAUUCAUUGGCAUUCAUGGCAACAGGAGAAGUGAAACUUCCUAAUGCUCAGCUUCAAGCUAAUUUUGCAGCAUUUAUGGUCACAGGGCAAGGAAAAAAUUGUCAGAAAAAUAGGAAUCCAGCACAAAGAGCAACAGCAAUGGGAACAAAGUACAAUAUUUAGGGUAGAAACUCAACAAACCAUAGAAGAAAUUUAAGGCAAAGAAGAGGUACAGUCUAAAUGUGUCUUGUACCCAUUAUGGAAAAAUAGGGCACACUCAAGAGGACUGCUAUAGAAUCAUUAGAUUUCCCGAUGAUUUUUAAUUUACCAAUAAAAAGAACUAUCAAAGUCAGAUCAAGGCAAAUGCAAUCCUAACUCAUGAAGAUAAUGAUAAUCAAACAGAACAAAAUGCUGAAAACGACAACAAAUUUGGACAACAACUUAACAAGGAAUAACUUGUAGAAAUGGUAAACAUGUACAAGCAGGUAAAAUUGGCACAAACGUGAAGUUCAAGAAUCAAUGCAAAUGCAGUUGUUGGUACUAUUCUAAAGUACACAGGUUCAGUGUUUACUACUUUAAAUUCUUACACUUGGAUCAUUGAAUCGGGUGCUUCAGAGUAUAUGUGUUUUGAUCCAAAUUCUUUCUUAUUUCUAACUCAAUUUCAUGUUCCUUUGAACAUCAAUUUACCUAAUUCAUUCAAGGCAAUUUUCGCUCUUAUAGGAAGUGUUUCUAUUCUACCAGGUCAUGUCAUGAACAAUGUCUUACAUGUUCCAUACUUCAAUUAUACUCUACUAUCAGUACAUCGGUUUUGCAUUCAGUUCCAAUAUGAUGUCAUAUUCGCAUCUAUUAGGUGUGUAUUGCAGGGCCUUUCAAUAAAGAGUCCACAAGCUUUUGAUGAAGUUAGAUAAGGUCUCUACAUAUUGGAUCCUAGUAGUCUUAAGUCUAAGGGAAUAUUCAGUAGUAAUGUACUUGCAAUUCAAAAAGGAAGGACUUCCAUUUUAAAUUAUAUGUCUUUUUCUAGUCCAGUUCAUGUUAAUGUUGUUUCUAAUGUUAAGCUUUGGCAUGUAAGGUUGGGACAUCUCCCAUUUUCAGUAAUGAAUUAUUUAGAUUUCCGUCAUUGUGGCUCAAAUUCUGAUUUUAUUUGUGACGUUUGUCCUAAGGCUAGGCAGACAAGUAAACCUUUCCCUGUCAGCACCAUUAAAUCCAGAAAUAUAUUUGGUCUCAUUCAUAUAGAUACAUGGGGGACCUACAAGUCCAAUACCUAUAACGGGUUCAAAUAUUUUCUCACUAUAGUGGAUGACUACAGUAAAGGAACAUGGACAUUUGAUGUGUUCUAAGAGCAAUGCAUUUCCUACGCUAAAAUCUUUCUUAUCCAUAGUUGAAUGACAUUUCAGUACUAAAGUGAAGAUGAUAAGGUCUGGCAAUGCUUUAGAGUUGGGGAAAGGGUCACAAGAAGAAGCUUUCCUUACUUCAGAAGGUAUUAUGCAUCAGGUGGCUUGUGUGGCAACAUCUCAACAGAAUGGGAUUGUUGAGAGGAAACAUAGGCAUCUCUUGGAAAUUUCUAGAGGUCUAAUGUUUCAAUCCAGGUUACCUAUGUCAUAUUGGGGUGAAUCUAUUCUAACUGCAACACACGUUAUUAAUUGAUUGCCUUCUAGUGUUCUUCAAGGAAAAACACCAUUUGAAGUUUUUUUUCAUAACAAGCGUAAGUAUUACUAUUUUAGAAAUUUUAGAUGUCUAUGUUAAGCUUCCACUUUGAAACAAUGUAUAGGGAAGUUUGAUGAGAGGGCAGCAGCUUGUGUUUUACUUGGUUAUCCUAUUCAACAAAAGGGAUACAAACUUCUGGAGCUGUCUACAGGGAGAGUUUUUGUGUCUAGGGAUGUGGAAUUAUGAAUCACACUUUCCCUUUACAGAAAAAAACACAACACAUCAUCCCAUCUUUCCAACUUCAACUUUCACCACAGAACCUACCUACUUAACCACACUCCAAGAUACAACACAACCUAUUUCUUCAGAAUAUGAUACAGCAGAUAUGUUCUCACCAGUAUCGUCAAGUCCCCCUCAUUUUUCUCAUCACCAUUCAGUUUCUCCAUCAUUACCUACUUUAGUUUCACCUAGCCUAGAGUCUUCUCACACUAGGACACUUUUUUCUGCACCUAAAGAAUCUACACCUUUGAGAAUAUCGGGAAGAGUUUCUACACAACCAAGCAACCUAAAAGACUUUGUCUGCAGCAGCAUUAUGUUGACAUAUUUAGCCACAGCUUGUCUCUCCCAGCCUUUUGUACCUAAUGAAUAUUGUUUUUCAUCCCUUUUACCCAACAACCAAUAUAUAGUUCAAUCCCUUUCUGCUUCAACAGAACCCUCUACUUUCAGCUAAGCUUGUCAACAUCAAGGAUAGGUAGAAGCUAUGUCUGCAGAAAUUAAAGCUCUAGAAGACAAUCAUACAUGGGAAGUGGUUGUAUUACCUAAAAGGAAAAGGGCUUUACCUUUUAAAUAGGUAUACAAAGUGAAGCACUUGUCAGAUGGGAGAAUUGAUAGGUUGAAAGCAAGGUUGGUGGUUAGGGGGAAUUUUCAAAGGGAAGGAAUAGAUUACAGUGAGACUUUUUCACCAGUGGUGAAGAUGACAACCAUAAGGUGUUUGCUCACUGAUACAGCCAAGAAAGACUGGGAUGUAUCUCAGGUAGAUGUCAAUAAUGCGUUCUUGCAUGGAGAUCAGCAAGAGAAAGUAUAUAUGAAAUUUCCAGCAGGUUUGGAUCCUCCUAGUCCUAAGCAUGUUUGUCUUCUGAAGAAGUCACUAUAUGGUUUAAAGCAAGUGUAUAGGCAGCGGUAUGUUAGGCUAGCAGGGGCUCUAAAUUUUAAAGGAUAUUCUUCAUCAAUAAAUGAUUAUUUUUUGUUCUUUAAACGCACAGAUAGUCCCAUAUCUAUCCUAGCUAUCUAUGUUGACAAUAUAUUGAUUACAUGAGAUGACAUAGCAGAGAUUCAGAACAUCAAAGUUUUUCUAAAUACUGAAUUUAAAGUCAAGAAUUUGGGAAGUAUACAAUACUUUUUAGGUAUGGAAAUUUUAAGAGAAAAGGCAGGAUUCAUUGUAAGUCAAAGAAAGUUUACCUUAGACUUGUUGCAGGAAUUUGAUGUGUCUCAUCUCCCUCAAUUCAGUUCUCUUUUGCAUCAUACCCUCAAGCUUCAGGCUGAUGAUGGAGAAUAUCAGCAAAACCCAACUUUAUUUCGUCAUCUAGUCCGAAAGCUGAAUUAUUUAACAAAUACUAGAUCAGAUCUUUCAUUUGUUGUAGUCACCUCAGUUAGUACAUGUAGAAUCCAUGUGAGUCACAUCUAUCUACUGCUUUAUGAGUUCUCAAAUAUCUCAAUUCUAAUCCUGGACAAGGAAUCCUAUUGUAAGAUGAGGCGUCUUUCUCUUUGCUCGCUUUCUGUGAUGCUGACUAGGCUUCCUACAGGGAUUCAAGAAGUUAAGUUAGUGGUUUCUUUAUUACUCUAGGAGGAGCUCCCACCUCUUCGAAAUCAAAGAAACAAAUCUCAAUUUGCUUGUCCUCUGCCGAAGCAGAGCAUAGAUCUAUGCGAAGGGUUAUUGCAAAGCUUACCUGGUUGGUACAAAUUCUCGAGGAUCUAUCAGCUCCAGUUAUUCUACCAAUUCCCCUUCACACUGAUAGCAAGGCAGCAAUUCACAUCGCCUGGAAUUUCAUUUUUUAUGAACGCACAAACCAUGUCAAAAUUAACUAUCAUUUUGUGUGUUAACAAUUUCUUUCAGGGCUCAUUACUCUCUCUUCGUUCCAUUAAAAAAAAAAGCACAGCUUGCAGACAUCUUCAUGAAACCCCAUUCUGGGGUUUCUCAUCGAGACACUUUUAGCUAGUUCGGAUUCACCAAAUUCCCCUCUAACUUUAGGGGGAUGUUAAGAAGAAAAAGCCCCUUCGUAAUUCUGAUUUUCAUGGAGCUUCAUCGAGAGUUAGAGAAGAAGAUGAGAUGAAGAAGAAGAAGCAGACGCAGACCUAAUGGCUUCAGGCUGUGCAAUUCACAUCGCCUGGAAUUUCAUUUUUUAUGAACGCACAAACCAUGUCAAAAUUAACUAUCAUUUUGUGUGUUAACAAUUUCUUUCAGGGCUCAUUACUCUCUCUUCGUUCCAUUAAAAAAAAAAGCACAGCUUGCAGACAUCUUCAUGAAACCCCAUUCUGGGGUUUCUCAUCGAGACACUUUUAGCUAGUUCGGAUUCACCAAAUUCCCCUCUAACUUUAGGGGGAUGUUAAGAAGAAAAAGCCCCUUCGUAAUUCUGAUUUUCAUGGAGCUUCAUCGAGAGUUAGAGAAGAAGAUGAGAUGAAGAAGAAGAAGAAGAAGCAGACACAGACCUAAUGGCUUCAGGCUUCAAACCAAACUAAUAUGUUCGAUAUAACCUAAGGUGAUGUUUGGUUGAGUUUUG